ensembl:lncRNA
GUCUUGCUGGAGAUCCCUGUGUUGCUGAGGCCUUCUGAAGAUGAUGAUGUUUGCUGCCGACUCCCUCACAUCCAGCCUGGCUCCACAACCUUGCAGCACAGGUUUUCCUCUCUUUGCUGCCCACCAAUACUUGGAAAGCAAUUAUCUGUUUCUGUCCUCCAAGCGCCUAUGAGCCCCGUACUUUCCUGCCUCCCACAACUGACUGCUUGUAAAAAGAGUGCUGUUCCCAUCAACAGGUGUUAGCAGCAUCUGCUAUCAACAUGGCAUCACCCUUGCACGCCGAGCAGCAUCCUGCCAAGAAGCUGGCACACUUUGCUAUGCAUCUCCCCAUCUGCAUGCAGAUCCACUUAGCACCUCUUGCCCUAAUGGAACUGGCAUGUGGCUCAGUGUGGGCCCAAAGCCACGCCAGCAUAUGGACUUCAGCUGCUCCAGGCAUGUACAGCAGUGACAGAGCAGUAAAACAGGAGCAGGAUUCCCACACAAGAAAGGUAGUGCUCCCUUCGGGCAUGAGACUCUCUUUAAAUCCCUCUGGGUUGAGUUAUGCUCUGAUCUAUGUUUCUGUGACUCCUUUUUUGGUAUCAGUGCUACAACAGAGGUCUACAUAAGCUCUUUUUCUCAUCUCUGCAAGAGGCCUUAUCUUACAAAACCUGUUUUUGUAUUUGGUUAUCUUUUUUUCCAAAUGAAAAUAUAAAACCUGAUUGCUAAUAACAUACAUGCGCAGGAGCCUGUUUCCUGUAGGCAAUAUGCAGGCCUGAGGAUUUGAUGAUGCACGAUACUCUUCCUUAGACUUCUUCUAUGUCACUUUGUCACUGGGCUUUACCUCCCUUUGGCCACUGCAAAAGGCUAUGGAGCCAUCUGCCUUAGCCCUUGUUUUCUGCAAAUCUGAGCUUCUGCCCAUCUUUCUCCUCUUGCCUGUGGGUUUCUGAAUGAAUCCUUGUGUGUCCCCUACAUCCCCAACUUGGUUUCAAAGCAGAAGUACUCGAACUUAAUGUUGGCUAGGGCUGCAGUGUGAGUUUGGCUACGCUCAGGAUGCCCUUGGGAUGCCCCUGCUCUGCUCCUUCUGUUGGCCAUUCCAGUCUGAAACAUCACGUUUGACCCUGACACAGAAAAAAAGUGAAAUGAUCCUUCUGAUGAUAAAGCCCACGGACAUGACCCACAAACCACCUGAACAACAAGACUUAGACUUAUGGCCCAUAGCAUCAGCCAUUUGAAUGGCAGUAAAGUUUCCUCUGAAAGUAUUCCCCUUGUCAUAAAGACAUUGGAAAACAUGCUCUGAAUGAUUUAUCCUUUGCUUACUCAUAUUUGGAUGCUCAGCAAGAAUCCGUUCCCUUGGAAUGAUUACGCACAGCACUCAGAAUAUCUGUGGCUCAGGGCCAGCCCUCAGGAAUGCUUCCUUUUUUGUUGAACUGAUACUUUAAAGGCAGUUAUCACUAAUGCUACCUGG